rnacentral:ncRNA from 1 species
GAAAGGGGAGCUUGUGUGCCAGGCUGAGAGGAAGCGGAGGGCUUCGACCCAUAACCUGAUUUGGAUAAUGCCAACGUAGGGACGAACAUACA